AGAGUUUGAUCAUGGCUCAGGAUGAACGCUAGCGGGAGGCUUAAUACAUGCAAGUCGUACGGUAAGGAGGGGCACCCUCCCUAGAGUGGCGUACGGGUGAGUAACACGUAUAUAAUCUGCCCCUAACUGGGGGGAUAGCCCUUCGAAAGGAGGAUUAUACCCCAUAACAUAAUGAAAUGGCAUCAUUUUAUUAUUAAAACCCCGGUGGUUAGGGAUGAGUAUGCGUCCCAUUAGCUUGUUGGUGAGGUAACGGCUCACCAAGGCAACGAUGGGUAGCUGGUCUGAGAGGAUGAUCAGUCACACGGGCACUGAGACACGGGCCCGACUCCUACGGGAGGCAGCAGUAGGGAAUAUUGGGCAAUGGAGGCAACUCUGACCCAGCCAUCCCGCGUGAAGGAUGAAGGCCCUCUGGGUCGUAAACUUCUUUUGUCUGGGAAGAAAAAGCUAUAUUUAUAUAGAACUGACGGUACCAGACGAAUAAGCACCGGCUACUCCGUGCCAGCAGCCGCGGUAAUACGGAGGGUGCAAGCGUUAUCCGGAUUCACUGGGUUUAAAGGGUGCGUAGGCGGUUAUUUAAGUCAGUGGUGAAAGCUCGCAGCUCAACUGUGAAACUGCCAUUGAAACUGAGUAACUUGAGUACGAUUGAUGUGGGCGGAAUAUAUCAUGUAGCGGUGAAAUGCUUAGAUAUGAUAUAGAACACCGAUUGCGAAGGCAGCUCACAAAAUCGCAACUGACGCUGAGGCACGAAAGCGUGGGGAGCAAACAGGAUUAGAUACCCUAGUAGUCC
rnacentral:rRNA from 1 species